AGAGUUUGAUCAUGGCUCAGAAUCAACGCUGGCGGCGUGCUAACACAUGCAAGUCGAACGAGAAAGUGGAGCAAUCCAUGAGUAAAGUGGCGCACGGGUGAGUAACACGUGACUAACCUACCCUUGAGUGGGGAAUAACUUCGGGAAACCGAGGCUAAUACCGCAUAACACCUACGGGUCAAAGGAGCAAUUCGCUUAAGGAGGGGGUCGCGGCAGAUUAGUUAGUUGGCGGGGUAAUGGCCCACCAAGACAGUGAUCUGUAUCCGGCCUGAGAGGGCGCACGGACACACUGGAACUGAAACACGGUCCAGACUCCUACGGGAGGCAGCAGUGGGGAAUUUUGCGCAAUGGGGGAAACCCUGACGCAGCAACGCCGCGUGGAGGAUGAAGUCUCUUGGGACGUAAACUCCUUUCGAUCGGGACGAUAAUGACGGUACCGGAAGAAGAAGCCCCGGCUAACUUCGUGCCAGCAGCCGCGGUAAUACGAGGGGGGCGAGCGUUGUUCGGAAUUAUUGGGCGUAAAGGGUGCGUAGGCGGUUCGGUAAGUCUUGUGUGAAAUCUUCGGGCUCAACUCGAAGUCUGCACGAGAAACUGCCGGGCUUGAGUGUGGGAGAGGUGAGUGGAAUUUCCGGUGUAGCGGUGAAAUGCGUAGAUAUCGGAAGGAACACCUGUGGCGAAAGCGGCUCACUGGACCACAACUGACGCUGAGGCACGAAAGCUAGGGGAGCAAACAGGAUUAGAUACCCUAGUAGUCC
rnacentral:rRNA from 1 species